rnacentral:rRNA from 1 species
GCAAGUCGAGCGGGAAUAGGUAGCUUGCUACUGAAUUCUAGCGGCGGACGGGUGAGUAAAGCUUAGGAAUCUGCCAUUUAGUGGGGGACAACAUUCCGAAAGGGAUGCUAAUACCGCAUACGUCCUACGGGAGAAAGCAGGGGAUCACUUUUGACCUUGCGCUAAAUGAUGAGCCUAAGUCGGAUUAGCUAGUUGGUGGGGUAAAGGCCUACCAAGGCGACGAUCUGUAGCGGGUCUGAGAGGAUGAUCCGCCACACUGGGACUGAGACACGGCCCAGACUCCUACGGGAGGCAGCAGUGGGGAAUAUUGGACAAUGGGGGGAACCCUGAUCCAGCCAUGCCGCGUGUGUGAAGAAGGCCUUUUGGUUGUAAAGCACUUUAAGCGAGGAGGAGGCGCUCUAGGCUAAUACCCUAGAAGCGUGGACGUUACUCGCAGAAUAAGCACCGGCUAACUCUGUGCCAGCAGCCGCGGUAAUACAGAGGGUGCGAGCGUUAAUCGGAUUUACUGGGCGUAAAGCGUGCGUAGGCGGCUUCGUAAGUUGGAUGUGAAAUCCCCGAGCUUAACUUGGGAAUUGCAUUCAAAACUGCGAGGCUAGAGUAUGGGAGAGGAUGGUAGAAUUCCAGGUGUAGCGGUGAAAUGCGUAGAGAUCUGGAGGAAUACCGAUGGCGAAGGCAGCCAUCUGGCCUAACACUGACGCUGAGGUACGAAAGCAUGGGGAGCAAACAGGAUUAGAUACCCUGGUAGUCCAUGCCGUAAACGAUGUCUACUAGCCGUUGGGGCCUUUGAGGCUUUAGUGGCGCAGCUAACGCGAUAAGUAGACCGCCUGGGGAGUACGAUCGCAAGACUAAAACUCAAAUGAAUUGACGGGGGCCCGCACAAGCGGUGGAGCAUGUGGUUUAAUUCGAUGCACGCGAAGAACCUUACC